UACGAAGGACCCAAGCGUUAUCCGGAUUUAUUGGGUUUAAAGGGUGCGUAGGCGGAUUAUUAAGUCAGUGGUGAAAGCCUGCAGCUUAACUGCAGAACUGCCAUUGAUACUGAUGAUCUUGAGUAUGAUUGAGGUGGGCGGAAUGUGUCAUGUAGCGGUGAAAUGCUUAGAUAUGGCACAGAACACCGAUUGCGAAGGCAGCUCACUAAGCCAUAACUGACGCUGAUGCACGAAAGCGUGGGGAGCAAACAGG
rnacentral:rRNA from 1 species